UACGUAGGGCGCAAGCGUUGUCCGGAAUUAUUGGGCGUAAAGAGCUCGUAGGCGGCCUGUUGCGUCCGCUGUGAAAUCCCGGGGGCUUAACCCCGGGCUUGCAGUGGAUACGGGCAGGCUGGAGGCAGGCAGGGGAGAACGGAAUUCCCGGUGUAGCGGUGAAAUGCGCAGAUAUCGGGAGGAACACCGGUGGCGAAGGCGGUUCUCUGGGCCUGUACUGACGCUGAGGAGCGAAAGCGUGGGGAGCGAACAGG
rnacentral:rRNA from 1 species